rnacentral:rRNA from 1 species
GACGAACGCUGGCGGCGUGCCUAAUACAUGCCAGUAGAACGCUGAAGCGAGGAGCUUGCUCUUCUUGGAUGAGUUGCGAACGGGUGAGUAACGCGUAGGUAACCUGCCUUGUAGCGGGGGAUAACUAUUGGAAACGAUAGCUAAUACCGCAUAACAAUGGAUGACACAUGUCAUUUAUUUGAAAGGGGCAAUUGCUCCACUACAAGAUGGACCUGCGUUGUAUUAGCUAGUAGGUGAGGUAAUGGCUCACCUAGGCGACGAUACAUAGCCGACCUGAGAGGGUGAUCGGCCACACUGGGACUGAGACACGGCCCAGACUCCUACGGGAGGCAGCAGUAGGGAAUCCUCGGCAAUGGGGGCAACCCUGACCGAGCAACGCCGCGUGAGUGAAGAAGGUUUUCGGAUCGUAAAGCUCUGUUGUAAGUCAAGAACGGGUGUGAGAGUGGAAAGUUCACACUGUGACGGUAGCUUACCAGAAAGGGACGGCUAACUACGUG